rnacentral:lncRNA from 1 species
AUGCUUCCCGUCUUCACAGGACUCGGGUGGGAAACAGCUCGUCCUCGGAACGCUCCACACGCAGACCUAGAGGAAGGGCCUCGGCUGCCUGCUGGGGGAGACCACGCGCUACACUGCCGUUGCAGGAGGUCGGUCACUGGUCCUGGCUCUGCAGGUCCCAGCUGGAUGAGAGUCAGUGCGGGAGGUGAGAUCGACUGCAGAGGAAGGGAGCAGCGAGGCACUGAUGCUGACUCCGUCCCGCGGGCCCACGUCGGACGCAACAGGAAGCAGCAGGCCGUCUGCAGACCAGGACGUCACGUAGACGUAGGAUUGGGUUUGUACACCAAGCACAGUGUCCCUUCUUGGUUUCUACUUUUCGGUGUCUUGGGUUCUGGGUGCCCCCUUUUGAAGACACUAUUUCUUUUUCCCUAAUCUGUGUCUAAAAGAGGUCCCAGUGAUCCUUUCCUCCUGAAAACCCAACACCAAUGUGCUCACUUCUAACACUUUCUUUUAGAAGCAGAGCGAGAGCGAGAGAAAGCGCUCGUCCAUGGUUUCACUCCCCAGAUGCCCAUAACAGCCAGGGCCGUGCCGGGCUGAAGCCAGGGGCCAGGAACUCGCUCCGGGUCCGACGCGAGCGGUGGGAACCCAGCUGCUGGAGCCAUCAGCACGUCCCGCAUUAGCAGCAUCCGGAGUCAGAGCUGGCAACCAAGUUCAGGUUCUCUGCCGUGGAUGUGGACGUCUUAGCCGCUAGGCUAAAUAUUCACUCCUCUUAGACAUUUUUAAUGCUUGUCAGGGUUGUAUUUUACAAAUAGCCAGCUGUACACUUGCCACCAUGUCUGUUAGAUUCGAAUUGGUGUUAAGUGGCUUAGAAGUCUUCUUAUGGUCUGUUUUGAAGAGAAGACAUUUUUUAUUUGAUUUUGUCUGCUUUUUAAAAGAUUUAUUUAUUUAUUUGAAAGUCAGAGUUAUAGAGAGAAGGAGAGACAGAUCCUCCACCCACUGGUUCACUCUCAAGUUGGCUGCAAUGGGCAGGGCUGGACCAGGCCGAAGCCGGGAGCUUCCUCCAGGUUUCCCACAUGGGUAGCAGGGCCCAAGCACUUGGGCCACCUUCCACUGCUUCUCUCAGGCCAUUAGCAGGGAGCUGGAUGGGAAGUGGAGCAGCCAGGACACGAGCCGAUGCCCAUAUAGCAUGCUGGCACUACAGGCGGUGACUUAACCUGCUAUGCAGCUAUGCUGGCCCUGAAUUCACAUGUUUUAAUAAAGUAAAAUAAGUAAUGAUAGCA